ensembl:lncRNA
GUGUUGGUCGAUCAUAACAUCAUUAACAUGAUAUUUUCACUUAUAAUACUGACUAACAUUAAACUUUGGAAUUAAAGUGGUUAAGUUCAGUUGCGGUCAAUUGCCGGCCGGUUGUUAAAGCGAAACAUUUAAUAUCUGAAUGUUGAACAAUGUUGCGACUGGUGCAUUAUGUUGGACUGUAGACUACACAUGCAUACAUCCAAAGCUAAAUCCAGCUGAAUAGAAAUUUGUAUCCACCAUUUCAUAUAGGUCACUUGUUCUGGGUGCCAGUGUCAUCAGCAUUUGGCUUGUCUUGGAUGACUGCUGUUGUUUAAAAAAAGGAGGAAACAGACGAAGAAAGAUAUUUGUCUUGCCUUUAUUCAUGUUCAGUGUAAUACAUUAGACGACACUUGGCAUUGGUCCUCCAGCUUGUUCUCUUAUGCUCUUCAUUGCAAUCGCUACAUGCCUCAUAAUAAUCCAGCCUCCACGUUCAGCCUUUAUGUGUUUGCUUACAGCUGGUUCACUAAAGCACUUGGCAGCAUAUGACCGUGUUGGCUAAAGAGCUUGAUCUUCUUUGGCUUCAUGAGGCAUUCCCUACUGUCAGAAGGACUAAAUAGCUAACGUUGAUUGUGUUUUGAUUUUGUCUGAUUUGGUCACAGCCUCUUUGGCACUGUUCUCCUGCAUCAACCUGCUGCCAGCUGUGGCCUCCCCUGAUCUUCAGCUCACAGGUAUCCUUCAAGCAGAUGGUUCACUGAAGUUUACCCUACCGUCCUCUUGUUUCACGAAGGUUCGCCACCCCUCCUGUGACGCACAGUGGGACGUAGACAAUGAGACGGUGGCUAUCGUAGACAAAGAUGAAAUCAAAAGAAAGCCUUCUGUAAAAGAGUUGACCAAUACUUCAGUCACCGUUGACACCUGCUCCUACACUGCCAGAUACUUCAUUGAAUGCCACGGAACGGGGUUCAGGAUGGACAUAGUCUACAUGUGUGUGACCCCUACAUCGGCUCCAAAGUCCCCUGUGUCCCCGAAUGGUCAGUGUACCCAGAUUUUCUGUGAUAUGCAUCCCAAUGCUGCAUUUGAUAUAACCUGACACAGUGAACCAAAAUUUCAACUGCUCUGAAUAGUUUGUUCAUAACACUGGAUAUUCCUUCAGUUUCAUCCAGUGAACCAAACCACGUUCCCAACCUUAGUUAAAUUUGACUGAACUAGAUUAGUGUUAAAACAUCCCCAUGUGAAUACACUCUACUAUAUCAUCAUGCUUUUCUGGUCCGAUCGCCAAAUAACAGUUGUGUUACUUCAUGUUUCAGGGACCAUCAGCUCCUUGCCGAUUCCGGAGACACGACAUGACCACAACCACAGAAGCUGGGUGGCAGUGGUCUCAAGACAUGGUGCACAUGUUGAAGGCCAACACCAUGUCGAAGGGGAAGAUACAGAAGGAACACUUAGCAAAUAUAUGAUGGAUGGAAAUAGAAAGAGAAAAUAGGACAUAUAUGUAAUGAAAUGUUACUAUUACAAAAAUGUUACUAUUACAAUAGAUCUUUUAUAUACAUGUUGUAUGUAUGGAUGUAUGUAGGCCUAUAUAUGAAUGAAUAUAUUAAGGCUAUAUUCAUCAUCAUUAUUAUUAUUUGUAUUAUUAUUAUUAUUAUUAUUAUUAUAUAAGGGACCAUGGCAGUCUGGUGGUAAUGAUCAAUGAUUAUCCUGUUGAAACUCCAUUGAAGCUACUAAUAGGGAUGCUGUAGCUGAGAAGCUCAAACCCCGCUCAGGUAUCACAUAUUAUGAUGACCUAGGUUCAAACCCAAGGUUCUGUCACUAGGGUGAGUGACUAUACUUGCCACUUGCCAUGCCUUAAAAACAGAUUUCUUAAGUGGUUUGCCUUUCCUAAUACUUCCGUUAUUGCUAUUUUUUUAUUUUCAAUCUUUUGCAUAUCUUUCAGUCAUUCUUUAUGCAUUUUUUCUUAGUUUAAAAAAAAUUAUGUUUCAUCCUUAAAAUGUCAUAUAGCCUAAUAUAUUAGCUGGCUGACUGACUGUUUGAAAAACCACAUGAGUUUGCUCUCUCUGUACCCAUAUAUGUUUAGCCUACUGUUACGCCAGAGCGAUCAAUCCUCUAGAUUCUGUGGUGGAAAUAAAUCUCGCCAACAUUUCA